CUUCCCAAGGGACCUCCAGGAGACUUGGUACAGCAGAGAUCGCCUGUCCGGGAGCUACCCGUGAGUCGCGUGCAACUAUAGAUAAGAUUGCAGGAGUGACGCUGCCAGCAAAAAUCAUCCGGGAUAACUAUCGGCCACAAGACCACUGAUCAGCAUGGGUGGUCAGCGUGUGGGGGUACCUCACUGGAGCCCCAGAAACCCUGUUUUGCAAGACUGGGAAAAACCGCACACCUGGAACGCUGAGGCGGAUCAAUAAAACUUUAAUAUGUUAUAACUCAGUUGUGAAUUCUCCGAUCAUGUUGCUUUUUGGACAGUAUGUGCAAUUGGCCACCAGCUUUAAAGUGAUGUAAAGUGAUAUUGUGGGGAUAUGUUGUCUUACAUGAAGUUAUUGUGGAAUAUAAAAAUAUCUAAUAACCCUUGUAUGGGAAAUACCCACCCACUCUGGGCAUGAACCCUAAUAACGUUAAAAAAGAAAAGAAAAUAGGGAAGAUCUCCUGAGGAGAAAUCCCCAUUGGGAUACAAAAUGGUUUCUGGGUAAUACAUUUU